GAUGAACGCUGGCGGCGUGCCUAACACAUGCAAGUCGAGCGGGAUCUUGCUAAAUGACGCUUCGGUUGAUUUUAGUAAGUGAGAGUGGCGGACGGGUGAGUAACGCGUAGGCAACCUGCCCUUUGCAGAGGGAUAGCCAUUGGAAACGAUGAUUAAAACCUUAUAAUGCCAGACUGAGACAUCUCUAACUGGCCAAAGAUUAAUCGCUGAAGGGUGGGCUCGCGUCCGAUUAGGUAGUUGGUGAGGUAACGGCCCACCAAGCCGACGAUCGGUAGCCGACCUGAGAGGGUGAUCGGCCACAUUGGGACUGAGACACGGCCCAAACUCCUACGGGAGGCAGCAGUGGGGAAUAUUGGGCAAUGGGGGAAACCCUGACCCAGCAACGCCGCGUGGAGGAAGAAGGUUUUCGGAUCGUAAACUCCUGUCCUCAGGGAAGAGCAGAAGACGGUACCUGAGGAGGAAGCCCCGGCUAACUACGUG
rnacentral:rRNA from 1 species